rnacentral:rRNA from 1 species
AAUCAACGCUGGCGGCGUGCCUCAGACAUGCAAGUCGAACGCGAAAGUCCCCCUCGGGGGACAAGUAGAGUGGCGCACGGGUGAGUAACACGUAGGUAAUCUACCUUCGGGUGGGGAAUAACAAUCGGAAACGGUUGCUAAUACCGCAUAAUGCAGCGGCACCUAAUGGUGACAGUUGUUAAAGCGGGGGAUCGCAAGAUCUCGCGCCUGAGGAGGAGCCUGCGGCGGAUUAGCUAGUUGGUAGGGUAAUGGCCUACCAAGGCGACGAUCCGUAGCCGGCCUGAGAGGGCGGUCGGCCACACUGACACUGACAUACGGGUCAGACUCCUACGGGAGGCAGCAGUCGGGAAUUUUGGGCAAUGGGCGAAAGCCUGACCCAGCAACGCCGCGUGAAGGAUGAAAUCCCUCGGGAUGUAAACUUCGCAAGAACGGGAAGAAUAAGUUUGUGCUAAUACCACAAGCGAUGACGGUACUGUUUGUAAGCUCCGGCUAACUCCGUGCCA